rnacentral:rRNA from 1 species
GUGAACGCUGGCGGUAGGCCUAACCCAUGCAAGUCGAACGGCAGCACAGUAAGAGCUUGCUCUUACGGGUGGCGAGUGGCGGACGGGUGAGGAAUACAUCGGAAUCUACUUUUUCGUGGGGGAUAACGUAGGGAAACUUACGCUAAUACCGCAUACGACCUACGGGUGAAAGCAGGGGAUCUUCGGACCUUGCGCGACUGAAUGAGCCGAUGUCGGAUUAGCUAGUUGGCGGGGUAAAGGCCCACCAAGGCGACGAUCCGUAGCUGGUCUGAGAGGAUGAUCAGCCACACUGGAACUGAGACACGGCCCAGACUCCUACGGGAGGCAGCAGUGGGGAAUAUUGGACAAUGGGCGCAAGCCUGAUCCAGCCAUACCGCGUGGGUGAAGAAGGCCUUCGGGUUGUAAAGCCCUUUUGUUGGGAAAGAAAAGCAGCAGGUUAAUACCCCGCUGUUCUGACGGUACCCAAAGAAUAAGCACCGGCUAACUUCGUG